CAUAGCCAGGACCAUGGAGAGAGACCAUUGCUGAGGAGGUGGGAAUGGCAAGUUCCUGGCCAAUCAGAUGAUCCUACAUGUACAUGACGAAGCUGCUCGUAAAGAUGCAAGUCUGAUGACAAACUCAGGAUGAUGAGGCCAUGUUCAAGCUGAACCCCAAUGCAAAGACGUCAAGUUCAAGCUGAAUGCCCAAGAGUUCAAACCUCCGAGAGCAAGCUUCUCUCCAGUGGUCACUGCCUCCUCCACACCUCUCCGAGACAAGGCGACUAUAGAGUCCUCAGCCUCUGCCCUACAAGAGCAAAAUAAUUCCGUUUCUGCGUGUGUCACCAAACUGGAGGUAAAAGUUUACGUAAGGACUUUGAGAAGGAGCAGAAAAAUGAGAAGUACCUCUCGCUAUUAGAGCAUACUAGGUAAAGGUCCUGUAAUUUACUUACUGUUAUUAUAACGUGUUAUGUUAGGUAAGAUCUUAGUGCAGCAUACUAGGUAAAGGUCAUCGUGUAGUGUUUUGUAAAACAGUCAUCAUAAUCCUUAGUUUUACCGUAUAGCGGCUCUUGGGCUAUCAGAAAUGUUCAUGGGUCAUGGGUUUUCUAAUAAUUAUUCACGUUUCAAUGUUAGGAAACCACACCCAUCAAUAGCUUUAUCCCAGUUUUAAUGUUCACGUUAGCUGCUCUGCCCUCGAAAAACCCGAAAUUUUGCACCUCACCUGCUACGGUACAUGCUAACACUGUAUAUCACUAUACAACCACUUGAAUGCAGAUAAAGCACAAUCACUCUCUUUAUUGCCUCCCAAGAAGUUAAGUAGCUAACUGUUCUCUGUUGCACUGGAUGAGUGCUGACUCGGCUCUGUUUAAGUCCAAGAGCAAGAAAUCAAAGUGGCUCGACUAAUAUGCGGCCAUUUUUCAGCCCGGCCAAGUGUUGAGGAGACAAGAAGAGGCACUGAGAAUGGAGGUAGAGGUACAGAGUACAUUAGCUGGAAAAUGCAUUUGUGUCAUACUUUGUAGAGUCCCUUAAAGUCAUUCAAGGUCAGCUAUAGUGUGUCCUAUUUGAAGGUGUGCAAUGUACAAUCAUGUACGACCCCCCCCCCCCACACACACACACACACACACCUUUAGGCCUACUAUGCUGCUAAGAAAGAGAGGGGCCUCACGUAAACUGGCCACUCAGUAUGACUAUGACCGUGUGACUCUUUAAACCCUCAGUUCCCGAGCCCCACCCCUCACUGUCUGACUCGGAAGGGAAGAAAGACUUUGGAUUCUGGGAGAAGGCGUUCACCCUACCCUUGAACAAGACCCCAACCAAGGACCUGAACUUAUUAUGAGACUGUUAAAUAUUAUUUUGUUGUUUUUGUACUAUUUUCUGGCAAUGUAAUUAUAUAUGUACCACUUCAUGUCAUCAUAAUAACUAUAGUUAUAUGUGAUAAAAUUCUGUUG